UACGAAGGGGGCUAGCGUUGCUCGGAAUCACUGGGCGUAAAGGGUGCGUAGGCGGGUCUUUAAGUCAGGGGUGAAAUCCUGGAGCUCAACUCCAGAACUGCCUUUGAUACUGAGGAGCUCGAGUCCGGGAGAGGUGAGUGGAACUGCGAGUGUAGAGGUGAAAUUCGUAGAUAUUCGCAAGAACACCAGUGGCGAAGGCGGCUCACUGGCCCGGUACUGACGCUGAGGUGCGAAAGCGUGGGGAGCAAACGGG
rnacentral:rRNA from 1 species